AGAACGAACGCUGGCGGCGUGCCUAAGACAUGCAAGUCGUGCGGAAAGGCUCCUUCGGGAGUACUCGAGCGGCGCACGGGUGAGUAACACGUGGGUAAUCUACCUGAGGGUCUGGGAUAACUCCGGGAAACUGGGGCUAAUACCGGAUGAGACCACGGCGUCUUCGGACGCAGCGGUCAAAGAUGGCCUCUCCUUGGAAGCUAUCGCCCGCAGAUGAGCCCGCGUCCCAUUAGCUAGUUGGCGGGUAACGGCCACCAAGGCGACGAUGGGUAGCUGGUCUGAGAGGAUGAUCAGCCACACUGGAACUGAGACACGGUCCAGACUCCUACGGGAGGCAGCAGUCGGGAAUUUUGGGCAAGUGGGCGAAAGCCUGACCCAGCAACGCCGCGUGAGGGAUGAAGGCCGUCGGUCGUAAACCUCGUGUCGGGAGGACGAAGGUCGGCGGUCGAAGUACGG
rnacentral:rRNA from 1 species